GUUGAAAUACCUGUUCCCAAAUGAUCACUGAAGUUAAGCAACACUGAGCCUGGUCAGUAUCUAGAUGGGUGACUGCUUGAAAAUACCAGGUGCUGUAA